AACGAACGCUGGCGGCAUGCCUAACACAUGCAAGUCGAACGAGACCUUCGGGUCUAGUGGCGCACGGGUGCGUAACGCGUGGGAACCUGCCCUUAGGUUCGGAAUAACUCCCCGAAAGGGGUGCUAAUACCGGAUAAUGUCUUCGGACCAAAGAUUUAUCGCCUUUGGAUGGGCCCGCGUUGGAUUAGCUAGUUGGUAGGGUAAAAGCCUACCAAGGCGACGAUCCAUAGCUGGUCUGAGAGGAUGAUCAGCCACACUGGGACUGAGACACGGCCCAGACUCCUACGGGAGGCAGCAGUGGGGAAUAUUGGAAAAUGGGCGAAAGCAUGAUCCAGCAAUGACGCGUGAGUGAUGAAGGCCUUAGGGUUGUAAAGCUCUUUUAACCGGGAUGAUAAUGACAGUACCGGGAGAAUAAGCUCCGGCUAACUCCGUG
rnacentral:rRNA from 1 species